rfam:Chlorocebus sabaeus isolate 1994-021 chromosome 5, whole genome shotgun sequence.
CCUGGGCGCGGUGGCUCACGCCUGUAAUCCCAGCACUCUGGGAGGCUGGGGCGGGUGGAUCACGAGGUCAGGAGAUCGAGACCACCCUGGCUAACCCGGUGAAACCCCGUCUCUACUAAAAAUACAAAAAACUAGCCANNNNNNNNNNCUCAGCCUCCCGAGUAGCUGGGACUACAGGCGCCGCCACCGUGCCUGGCUAGUUUUUUGUAUUUUUAGUAGAGACGGGGUUUCACCGGGUUAGCCAGGGUGGUCUCGAUCUCCUGACCUCGUGAUCCGCCCGUCUCGGC